GGUAUUUUGCUCAGCCCAUUCCCCACUUCUGUGAGAUCAGUGCUGACACCAGUGAGACCAUUGGAGACAUAGGUACCUGAGAAUCCCACUCAAGCCUCAUGAUCUACUUCUGCUACUCCAGUCAUUAAUUACUACUGAGCUUUUGCCAUCUCAGUUGCCCAUCCAAGCUGCUGUGUUGUCUUUGCUGAAAGAGGCUGUUAACCAACAACUAGGACCUCUACAGCAGUCCACAAGGAAGAUUGGUAUGCCUUUACAGAAAAUGUAUUUGUU